rnacentral:lncRNA from 1 species
ACUGGCAAUAAAUAGCUCGCUACGAUUGUUUCGGAAAAAAAAUUGUUGGUCAAUUUUUCAAAAUCAAUGUACAAAUAGUUACAGUAAAAGAAAUGUUUCCAAAUUGUCGAAUAAUUUUUUUCCGAAGUAACUAGAUUUUAAUUUUUUUUUAAAGCAUGCUGCUUGCCAGCACGAGCUAUGACAAAGCCAGCGCAUAUUAUUUUCAUUUUAUUUAUUGUGGUUUCACAAAACAAUACACAAAGCGCGACUACGCACGCAGACCUAUCCAAGCUGUUUUUUUAAGAGUAAAUUUUAUAGAAUCACAUUUUUUAUGAC